AAAUUGAAGAGUUUGAUCAUGGCUCAGAUUGAACGCUGGCGGCAGGCCUAACACAUGCAAGUCGAACGGUAACAGGAAGCAGCUUGCUGCUUUGCUGACGAGUGGCGGACGGGUGAGUAAUGUCUGGGAAACUGCCUGAUGGAGGGGGAUAACUACUGGAAACGGUGGCUAAUACCGCAUAACGUCGCAAGACCAAAGAGGGGGACCUUCGGGCCUCUUGCCAUCAGAUGUGCCCAGAUGGGAUUAGCUUGUUGGUGAGGUAACGGCUCACCAAGGCGACGAUCCCUAGCUGGUCUGAGAGGAUGACCAGCCACACUGGAACUGAGACACGGCCCAGACUCCUACGGGAGGCAGCAGUGGGGAAUAUUGCACAAUGGGCGCAAGCCUGAUGCAGCCAUGCCGCGUGUAUGAAGAAGGCCUUCGGGUUGUAAAGUACUUUCAGCGGGGAGGAAGGUGUUGUGGUUAAUAACCGCAGCAAUUGACGUUACCCGCAGAAGAAGCACCGGCUAACUCCGUGCCAGCAGCCGCGGUAAUACGGAGGGUGCAAGCGUUAAUCGGAAUUACUGGGCGUAAAGCGCACGCAGGCGGUCUGUCAAGUCGGAUGUGAAAUCCCCGGGCUCAACCUGGGAACUGCAUUCGAAACUGGCAGGCUUGAGUCUUGUAGAGGGGGGUAGAAUUCCAGGUGUAGCGGUGAAAUGCGUAGAGAUCUGGAGGAAUACCGGUGGCGAAGGCGGCCCCCUGGACAAAGACUGACGCUCAGGUGCGAAAGCGUGGGGAGCAAACAGGAUUAGAUACCCUGGUAGUCCACGCCGUAAACGAUGUCUACUUGGAGGUUGUGCCCUUGAGGCGUGGCUUCCGGAGCUAACGCGUUAAGUAGACCGCCUGGGGAGUACGGCCGCAAGGUUAAAACUCAAAUGAAUUGACGGGGGCCCGCACAAGCGGUGGAGCAUGUGGUUUAAUUCGAUGCAACGCGAAGAACCUUACCUGGUCUUGACAUCCACAGAAGAAUCCAGAGAUGGAUUUGUGCCUUCGGGAACUGUGAGACAGGUGCUGCAUGGCUGUCGUCAGCUCGUGUUGUGAAAUGUUGGGUUAAGUCCCGCAACGAGCGCAACCCUUAUCCUUUGUUGCCAGCGGUUAGGCCGGGAACUCAAAGGAGACUGCCAGUGAUAAACUGGAGGAAGGUGGGGAUGACGUCAAGUCAUCAUGGCCCUUACGACCAGGGCUACACACGUGCUACAAUGGCGCAUACAAAGAGAAGCGACCUCGCGAGAGCAAGCGGACCUCAUAAAGUGCGUCGUAGUCCGGAUUGGAGUCUGCAACUCGACUCCAUGAAGUCGGAAUCGCUAGUAAUCGUGGAUCAGAAUGCCACGGUGAAUACGUUCCCGGGCCUUGUACACACCGCCCGUCACACCAUGGGAGUGGGUUGCAAAAGAAGUAGGUAGCUUAACCUUCGGGAGGGCGCUUACCACUUUGUGAUUCAUGACUGGGGUGAAGUCGUAACAAGGUAACCGUAGGGGAACCUGCGGUUGGAU
rnacentral:rRNA from 1 species